GAUGAACGCUGGCGGCGUGCCUAAUACAUGCAAGUCGAGCGAACAGACGAGGAGCUUGCUCCUCUGACGUUAGCGGCGGACGGGUGAGUAACACGUGGAUAACCUACCUAUAAGACUGGGAUAACUACGGGAAACCGGAGCUAAUACCGGAGAAUAUAUUGAACCGCAGGGUGCAAUAGUGAAAGACGGUUUUGCUGGCACUUAUAGAUGGAUCCGCGCCGCAUUAGCUAGUUGGUCAGGUAACGGCCUACCAAGGCAACGAUGCGUAGCCGACCUGAGAGGCUGGUAGGCGACCCGGGAACUGAGACGCGGUCCAGGCUCCUACGGGAGGCCGCAGUAGGGAAUCUUCCGCAAUGGGCGAAAGCCUGACGGAGCGACGCCGCGUGAGUGAUGACGGUCUUCCGAUCGUAAAGCUCUGUUAUUAGGGAAGAACAAAUGUGUCAGUAGCUAUGCCCGUCUUGACGGUACCUAAUCAGAAAGCAACGGCUAACUACGUG
rnacentral:rRNA from 1 species